UCCAAUUAUGUUGACUUAUCUUUCUUUCCACAUUUCAUACAUUAUGUUUCUUACCAAAAUCUACAAUGGUGGAAUCUAUUCUCUGUAAACUUUCAAGCAAAGCAAAGUAAGAAGUUGGUCUAGAAUUCCCACUCCUGAACCCCUUGCCUGUCAGGCCUCUGAGCCCAAACUAAGCCAUCAUAUCCCCUGUGACCAGCAUGUGUACAUCCAGAUGUCCUGAAGCAACUGAAGAUCCACAAAAGAAGUGAAAAUAGCCUUAACUGAUGACAUUCCACCACUGUGAUUUGUUCCUGACCCACCCUAACUGAUACGAUAUAUUCUUCCCCGCCCUUAAGAAGGUAAUAGCUGAUAAUACCUAUUCCUGUAUAAGUCUGAAUUAUUGGUGACAUCUGAGCAGUAACCAUAGUGAUAUGGGGGAAAGAACCACGUGGAUUUUGAGGCAUGUUUGGGGAACAUAGGAGAGUUUUGGCUGGGGAGAUUACAACUCAUAUUUUAAAGGAAUCAUCUGAUUGCUGUAAGAAGGGUCUACUGGGGCUGGGGACAAGAAUAUAAACAGUUUGGAAUCAAUUGCAAUAAUCAAGGUGAUAGAUUUUGGUGACCUUGCUUCAG
rnacentral:lncRNA from 1 species